CCCAUUUCUGCGCCGCUUUCUCACCUCUCUUCAUCUUCUCUUCUCUUCUCUUCGUAUUUCUGCUACUCCUCUCUCUUGAGAUUCGUUGAGGGUACUAGUUCAAGUGAAGAAAACGAAGGAGAUUUAAGGGCCUGUUGUUCCGAAAAACUGAAAUUAUUGGAGCAAUUUCGUUUUGUUUUCAAAACCAUAAAUCCACAAAAUUGGAAGGAGUUUAAGGAUGUACAAGAUAGUACACCUCCACCAAAGCUAAGUCCCGUAUACUGGUUGUCUUUUGAUUGAUUUUGAUGGGUUAAGUCCCAUUUACUGGUUGUCAUUUGAUUGAUUCUAAUUGAUUAAAUAGUGUCACUAACUUAUUUAAUUUGGUUGGAAUUUCUUGAUUUGUAGAUAACAAAAUGAAGCCUGAGGUAAAGCGCUCUGAAUCAGUUGGUAAAGUUGUGGAUUCCCUGUAAAUCUUGCAUCUCUUCACUGUGUAACUGCCGUUUUUCUGGUGAACCAGUUUGAAGCUUCUCAGCUAUGUGCUAUCCAUGCUAAGCCUGUGAUAAUUAUGCAUCUCUUAAAAAUGAUCAUUUGUUCCAGCUGACCAAGGAGGGUCAUUGUACCAUCAUAUUGUAAUGUGUUGUAUUUUUUCUCUUCUGUCUUUAUUGUAACUGAAAUAAUUAAUGAAUAAAAGAUUACUUUCUUAAUUCAUUUUUGUAUUCA